rnacentral:rRNA from 1 species
GGCGUAAGGGCUCGCAGGCGGUUUCUUAAGUCUGAUGUGAAAGCCCCCGGCUCAACCGGGGAGGGUCAUUGGAAACUGGGAAACUUGAGUGCAGAAGAGGAGAGUGGAAUUCCACGUGUAGCGGUGAAAUGCGUAGAGAUGUGGAGGAACACCAGUGGCGAAGGCGACUCUCUGGUCUGUAACUGACGCUGAGGAGCGAAAGCGUGGGGAGCUAACACGAUUAGAUACCCUGGUAGUCCACGCCGUGAACGAUGAGUGCUAAGUGUUAGGGGGCUUCCCCCCCUUACUGCGGCAGGUAACGCAUUGGGAACUUCGCCUGGGG